rnacentral:misc_RNA from 1 species
UGACCCCUCAGCUCUUGGCCCACCGCCUCCGCCGUCUUAUGGAUUCCAUAUGCUUGAGCGCCGCACGAUUGUUCUUGCCGAUGGAAGUGUACGGUCGUACUUCGCUCUCCCUCUCGAUUAUCACGAAUUCAAUCCGCCUGCAAGGUCCAUGGAUCUUGCUGGUCGGUUUUUACCAAUGGGUUCAGGUGGUCCUGGUCAUGAAUACGGUGGAUUUGACCAUCGGUUUCCCCCGGGCGGACCUAUGAGUCCAGAUGAAUUUAGGGGUGUUCGGGAAGAACAAUUUGGGCGUGCUAGGCCUCAAGAUCACUGGAAUUCUCGGGGGACUGAUGAACGUGGUGGUCCUGCAGAUUCGUCGAUGAAAAGGAAAUUCAAUGACGACAAUGAGAAGGACAGGAAGGAUGAGAAAGACGAUUUGGCCAGGCGACAGCAGCAAUUUUUGCAUAAUGGGAAUGCAAAUGGGUUUCUUACUGGUUCCGGUGAACGAAGGGGUGAUUUUCUGGCGGGAACGAGUGAUCCAUAUGGUCGUACAGAGGACACGAGGUUCUCGAAGUACAUGCGAGUUGGUGGGAGCUAUGAAAAUGAAGGUUUAAGGCUAGGUAGCGGUAAAAGUG